rnacentral:lncRNA from 1 species
UAGAGAGAGAGAGAGAGAGAGUUGAGUUAAAAUGCUAUCAGCGGCAAACAGGCCUUAUUGCCAUACAUUUAUUUUCGAUGAUAAAGUCUCCAAAUUGACGAUCAGCACCAGUUGAAUAUGAUCUAUGCCACUUAAAGUAUUUAGAAAUCAAAUUUCAAAUUGUUUCGACAUCAUUAGCCUAAUAAUCAAAAGGUUGCAAAUUUUGUUAUUUUAAUGGUCGAUAUGAGACAUUUUUUUGUUUAACGGCGUAAAGAUAUUCAAAUCAAUUGAAUUUUGGUUAAAAUUUUUUUUGAACUAUUUAAAACGAGAUCUAUACUUUUGAUUUUUACUACAAACUCAUAUUAUCACUUUUUUAAAUAAAAUUCAUUUUCAGCCGUUCAUUUUUGUAUCCACUUAAUAGAUAAGAGAACAAUAUCGAAAAAGUAUGAAAUUUGAUUUCUAAAUGCUUCAAGUGGCGUAGAUCGUGUUCAAUGAUGUCGAUCGUUGAUUUGGAGGCUUCAUCAUCAAGAACAAGUGAAUGACAACGGAGCUCAUUUGCGACCGAUAGCAUUGUAGCUUAACUCUAUAUAUAUGUAGUUAAGCUCUUGUGUGCUUUUAAAAAUACAGAAGUAUUUGUACUUGUGACUUUUAGCCGUUAGAUUAUCUCAAAAUUCNAAGGGAAACUGCUUCCUGCAUUCCCGUCCAACUAUCACUUCAUCCAGCUCACCACCCACUUCAAAAUAAUUAAAAACAUAAAGAAAAAAAACAAAAGUCAAAAAAAGAAAAAGAAAAAGAAAAAGCAACUCCCACUUCCCAUACAAAUCCGAUCCAAGGCCACCACGAAGUGCGACAUCAUGGAACUUAUAUUAUACCGCUGUGUCCUUUUUUAGCGGAUCCAUGAUCAAUCCAACGGUGGGAAUUGCUCCAUCAGUGUCCCCAAAAGCACCUCCCCUCCAAAUCCAAAGUAUACAUUCUAAAAUAGGAAAAGAAAAAAAAAAAAACAAAAAAGUAUAAAGAUGGGCCAUUUUUCUACUUUAUGGCCGUUUUAUUCGCACCAGUUCAAAACAGCAACAAAUUGGUGAUGGGUUUGAUAAAGAUGAAAACAAAGUUGGAAAACAGAGAAGCAAUGUGAAUAGUGGGAAGCACAAAUAAAAACAAAAAUUAUUCAUCACAUCGAUCUAAUGAUGUGACAAGUAAAAAAAUUUUAUUAAUUACAUGAGCAAGAUAUAUAAUAGAAUAAACUUCAAAUAUCAUCACCCAUGUGGUUUCAUAUUUUUUCAUUUUAGUAUCAUAUGAUUUAAGGUAUAUCAAUUUAAUGUCAUGUGGUUUCAUUUUUAUCUUUUCGUCAGAUCCUCCGUUAAUAUUUUAUUAAAUUAUAUACAAAAUAUUUCAGAUAACCCUCCUAGAUUUAUCGAAUAUUCACUUUAAUGUCUUUUAGUUUUAACUUUAUCACUGAUUUAACAAAAAAAUUAGUAAAGAAAAUAAUAAAAAAAAUGAAACCAUGGUGUAAUAAAUUGAUAUAUUUUAAACCACAGGGUACUAAAAUAAAAGGUGUGAAAUCACAGAAGUUGUAUUUGAAGUUUUUUUCAUAUAAUAUACAUUCCUUUUAGGUUGUAUGAAUAGUAUUAUUUUUUUUUAAUCCUAAAAUAUAUAUCUAGUUGGGGUUCUUCUCCCACAUUACAAAUUGGUUUCUGUACUCAUUAUUUUAAUUUUGGCUGCAAAUUUUUUCUUUUUGGUUCUACUUUAGUUUUAAACUAAAGUAAAUCAAGUAUUUUACAAAUUUAAUUAAAAGUGCAAUAAAUGUUGAAGUUCAGAAACUAAAUUAAUUAUUUUAAAUUAAAAGAACAAAGCCCAAUUUGCAAUGUGGGGAAGUACAAGGGCUAUCUCUACAUUAAUUUACCUGUAUUUAAUUUUUAUAGAUCUUAAUGUAUUAUACCAUAAAGAAUACAAAGAGGAUCCGAAGAAUGUAUCAUUGUAGGGUGUUGCACAGAUCCCAUCAUGUGUGCGGUUUGGUUUCCUACUUUUGGACCAUUUCCACUUAUUUUAUAUAUAUAGAGAAAGAGAGAGAGAGAGAGAGUUGAGUUGAAAUGCUAUCAGCGGCAAACAGGUCUUAUUGCCAUACAUUUAUUUUCGAUGAUAAAGUCUCCAAAUUGACGACCAGCACCAGUUGAAUAUGAUCUAUGCCACUUGAAGUAUUUAGAAAUCAAAUUUCAAAUUGUUUCGACAUCAUUAGCCUAAUAAUCAAAAGGUUGCAAAUUUUUUUAUUUUAAUGGUCGAUAUGAGACAUUUUUUCGUUUAACGGCGUAAAGAUAUUCAAAUCAAUUGAAUUUUGGUUAAAAAUUUUUUUGAACUAUUUAAAACGAGAUCUAUACUUUUGAUUUUUACUACAAACUCAUAUUAUCACUUUUUAAAUAAUAUUCAUUUUCAGCCGUUCAUUUUUGUAUCCACUUAAUGAACAAGAGAACAAUAUGGAAAAAGUAUGAAAUUUGAUUUCUAAAUGCUUCAAGUGGCGUAGAUCGUGUUCAAUGAUGUCGAUCGUCGAUUUGGAGGCUUCAUCAUCAAGAACAAGUGAAUGGCAACGGAGCUCAUUUGCGACCGAUAGCAUUGUAGCUUAACUCUAUAUAUAUGUAGUUAAGCUCUUGUGUGCUUUUAAAAAUACAGAAGUAUUUGUACUUGUGACUUUUAGCCGUUAGAUUAUCUCAAAAUUCGUGCAGCAUUAUUAACGAUAUGUUCCGUUAAAUCCUCUUUAUUAGUAUUGUAUAGAUCUUAAGGUGAUCCGACGACAAAAAUCAUAAACACAAAUAUUUCUAUGCUUUUAAAGUACAGGAGCUCAACAAUCAAUAUAUAUAUAUAUAUAUAUAUAUAUAUAUAGAGAGAGAGAGAGAGAGAGAGAGAGAGAGAGAGAGAGAGAGAGAGAGAGAGAGGCUCCUAUUCAUUCGAAAGUACGGAGGCAUCCGUGCUGGUAAGUUGUUUUCGAUGAUGGAACAUUGGAUUCGAUCUUGAUUAACAGUGUAAAGAUAUCAAAAUCAAUUAAAUUUUGAUUACAAAAUUCUUUAAACUAUAUAGAACAAGAUCUAUGCUUUCGAUUUUGAUUAAAAGAUUUUUAUUAUCAUUUUUUAGAAAAAUAUUUAUUUUCAACCGUUCAUUUUAUGUCCACUUGACGUACAAUAAAACAAUAUCGAAAAAGUAUGAAAUUUGAUUUCUAAAUACUUCAAGUGGUAUAGAUUAUAUUCAGCAGUGUCGAUCGUCGAUUGGAAGGUUCCAUCAUUGAAAACAAAUGGGUGGCAACGGAACCCGUUUGCUACCUAUAGCAUUCUAGCUUAACUAUAUAUA